rnacentral:misc_RNA from 1 species
GUGCAAGGCGGUUGUCAUUCGCGUAGGCUUCGAUUGUUUGCUUUUUCUGUCUCCUAACGAUUUAUUUUGGAUCCUAACGAGCCAAAUACUUGCUAAAACUUUUAAUUAAUUUUUGCGUCCAGUAUUAUUGUAGUUGACGCUGUCGGUGCUUUCUGUUCGUUCAUAAUUCGGUAGUGGUGCGAAUAGUUUUUAUUAAUUUUAUUUUCGCGUAGAAUAAAAUAUUAAUAAAAAUAAAACAGUUGUUGUAAAUAUUGUAGCGGUGUGUUUUCGUUGUGAAUGGGGUUGCCAAUGCUAAUUGUGGAAGUAGUUUCGAUGACAAGGAACGCUGGAAGGUGGGACUAUGCUAUUCUUCAGUGCCUUAGCCCUCGGGGUGGUGACUGGCCUGCAGAAUGUGUCGGAGCCGACGGCCAGUGACGUCACGGAGGCAGUGAGCACCACCGACAUGGGGCUGGUGGCGCCGACCAAGUUGUCGGACUCUCCUAUACUGGACCAUGUCAAUGUGACUAUACAGGACCCUUCAAUGGCUUCUAUGUGGGAUAUGUAUUUGAACCACUGUCCGCGGUGGCGGCCGAUUAACCACAUAUUUUUCCAAGUGGCCAAUGUGUGUUUCCUGCUGUCGUUCCUGGCUCCUCACACGCAGACUGGGAUCUUGUGGCUGCGAGUAGCCCUGAUCCUCGGCUGUGCCUUCUUCGGGCUAUGGGCGUGGAGUAUUGAGUGCUACUUGGAUGCUGUGUUGUGGAACAGUGCAUUUAUUGUGAUAAACUUUGUGUACUUUGCCAUACAGUUCUACCUGCUACGGCCAAUCAAGUUUCAUAAGGAUAUUGAAGAGGUGUACAUAGCCCUGUUCAAGCCGCUGAGGGUUUCCCGGAGACAGUUCCGGCGCGUGCUCAUAUGCAUGCGCAACGUGCGACACCUCAAGUGUCACGAGCUGUACGCACACGAGAAGGUCACCAAAGUUGACAGCCUGUCCCUGGUGCUGUCUGGCAAGCUGGUGGUGUCACAGAACCAGCGCGCGCUGCAUAUAGUGUUCCCUCACCACUUCCUCGACUCGCCGGAGUGGUUCGGGGUAUCCACUGACGAGUACUUCCAGGUGUCAAUAAUGGCGAUGGAAGAGUCUCGAGUGCUGGUGUGGCACCGUGACAAGCUGAAACUUUCCAUCAUGUCUGAUGCGUUCCUGCAAGCCGUAUUCGACCACAUACUUGGCAGGGACGUGGUACAUAAGCUCAUGCAGGUGAGCGAGACAAUGGGCGUCAGCAACGGCCACCUGCCCAACAGCUUCGAAGAAGGGGAAGACAAACCCAUGUUGGUGGUCAAGAAGGCUGGGGACGGGCCCGGCAUCACGGCGCUGCUCAACCGGCAGCUGCAAGAUCGACAGUUGGAAAGCAUCGGAUCCAAACGCGUGGCGUCUCGGGCGGAUAGAGGAAACGGACCACGAGACGCCCGUGUGAGGACGCGCGCUGCAUGUGGCGGUGCGGCCGCGGCGGUUGAGACGCAGCAAACGCUAGCGUGCACGGACCCUUACCUCGCUCCACAUGCAGACGACGAAAUUUUAACACUUCGCUCGGUGUGAAGUGACAUUUAUGACGUUAUAAUCAUAAAGUGAUAUGUGUAAUACUCGGUGUUAAUAUAAAGUUUAAAAUGGCGGGCUAUGUUACAGUUGUUAACGUGAGAAAAGAAAUAUAAAAUGUUGAUUCAGUGUCGAUUUGUUUAAAGCGAAUGUAUGAGAAAGAAAUAACUAAAUGCUAUAUUAUUUUUAAUGGGUCGAUGCGUGAUUAAAUGUUAAACAAGGAACUUUCCAGGCUAUAUUUCACAAAAACAAUAUAGAUGGCUCUGUACAGAUGUUCCUUCGUUUAACCUUCAUAUUUCAUGCAUAACAGACAUAGUAUGCAUCUUUUAUCUUUGUUUUUGGGUAUAAAUGAUGACUUUUUUUAUUACACCCAGGCACAAUAACAUUUUCCACCCAUUAUUAUUCUGAUCAAAAUAAAGUGAAGCAAUAUAGGUAGCAACAUAAUUCUAUACGUAUCUGAUCCAAAUAUAAGCAACAAUUAUUUUUAUAUAUGCCUCUGCUAUGCUAUUACAUCAUAUUUUUGAAUAAUUAGUAUAUACACCGAGCAAUGAGAUACACCGGAGGGGGUAUGGAGCAUACUCCACCACGCUGCUCCACUGCGGGUUGGUAGAGGUGUUAUUCCGGCUAAUAGCCGGGACCAACGGCUUAACGUGCCCUCCGAAGCACGGAAUCAUCUUACUUUUUUGGAUAAUCAGGUGAUUCAAGCCUGAAAAGUACCUUACUUACCAAACAAAGGACAGUCUCACAUAGUGAUUUCGACAAUGUCCCCAUCGGGAAUCGAACCCGGACCUGCAGAUCGUGAGCCUAACGCGAUUUUUUAGAAGAGACUAAAAAGAAGAAUAUUUCCUUCUUUAAACUGAUCGCUACUGAAUCGAUACGAGGUUAAAGUGAUUUAUUGUGAUGUAGUAAUGUUUCGUUUGGCAAGGAAUUGAGAUUGUACCGCGAAAUAAAUCUGGUUGUCGUUUAACAUAUCCAAGUGGAAUAAGGGACAUUCCAAGCUACAUUCCACUAAAACAAUAUAGAUGGCGCUGUACAGAUUUUCCUUCGUUUAACCUUCUACAUACAUACAUAAACUCACGCCCGUAAUCCCUAAUGGGGUGGGCAGAGCCACAAGUAAUCAAAGACGACUUGCAGCCACUGUUGAUACGAAGUCCAAAGAUGGAUAUGAUGAACCUUAUGGUGAUAAGGGAUCAGCCUAUCGCCCAUAACAUUAGUCCAUCAUGUUAGAGGACACAAUCCCUCUGUCGGUUUUUACGACAUGCCCGGGAAGAGAAGCAGCUGAACGUGUUCUGUGUUGUAACCUUCUAAUUUCAUGGAUAACAGACAUAUCCAUCUUUUAUCUUUGUUUUUGGUUGAUGACCCUUGUUAUUACACCCAAGCACAACACAUCAUCCACCCAUUAUUAUUCUGAUCAAAAUAAAGUGAAGCAAUAUAGAUAGCAACAUAAAUUCUAUACAGAAUGUGUUACAAAUAUGAAGCAACAAUUAUUUUUAUUUAUUAUGCUUCUACCAUUACAUUGUAUUUUGGAAUAAUUAUGUACUAGGUACGGUCACG